rnacentral:rRNA from 1 species
CCGCGGUAAUACGUAGGGCGCAAGCGUUGUCCGGAAUUAGUGGGCGUAAAGAGCUCGUAGGCGGUUUGUCGCGUCUGCUGUGAAAACCCGAGGCUCAACCUCGGGCUUGCAGUGGGUACGGGCAGACGAGAGUGCGGUAGGGGAGACUGGAAUUCCUGGUGUAGCGGUAAAAUGCACAGAUAUCAGGAGGAACACCGAUGGCGAAGGCAGGUCUCUGGGCCGCAACUGACGCUGAGGAGCGAAAGCAUGGGUAGCAAACAGG